GGAGCAUGCAACAACAAGCUUUGACAAAGUUUUCACAGUAAGAGAAAAGUAAAAGACGAGAGGAAAUACUUUCUCUUUCUUCGAUCAACAGAAGCAUUCCUUGGGUCAGUUUUAGCAAGACCAGAUCCAGGAGGGAUGGCGUACUGCAUCGGGGAAAGAGCUGCAGCUGUAACAGGUGUAGGAGCAAGAGGUGGAGCGGCUGGAGGGGCUACACUUGAUGGUAGUGAUGCAGGUGGAGCCGAACUUGGUGCAGUUGCAGGCUCAGGAAGCGGCCGCGGCAAAAUAUGUUUCAACCGGUUAUUUCUAUAGUUCUUCCAGAAGUAAAAUUGCUGCCUAUGUGCCACUUCCUAAUAGUUGUUACAAACAUGUAGAUUAGAUCCUAUCACAGAUUUAUAUGCCAGAACUUUAGGUUGGCAAACAAAGUGCAAUAGUUAAUAAAAAGUGAAAUGAGAUGAGAAGUCCUCGGGGAGAGAAUUAACCUGGACAACGCAAUUAAAUAAUUAUAAGUUUUAUGUUUAGAAACUACGAAAAAGUUAAGAAAGGGAAAUAAGGCUGAUGGCUAAGACGAUGAAGUAACAUGUAUUAUAAAGUGCUUUGGCUGCAUUUUUUGUCCAUUACACAAAGUGGGACAGACUUUCUUUAUAGUGGCUGACAGUCUUAACUAAUUAAAGGGUAUAGCAAAAGUGGAGAAGGAAACCAGGGCAACACAUGACAUAACUUUUUACCUUGUUAGCAGGAUGCGCCAUUGCAUUACGAAAUGUUGGAUUUUGGAGAAGCUCGAGAAAGAAUAGGCAGUGUGGAUACCUGCAUUAACAUUAAGAAAGGGAAUAUCAAUACUGUUAGUUAAUGAUACCCAUAGUCCACAGCAAACAGAAAAGGAACAAGGACCAUCAACCAAAUAAAGCAUGGAAUUGAACUGCAUCUAAAAAGUUGCAGUAGAAAGAACAUACAUAACUAUUAUCAUAUAUUAAUACUAGAAACUAACUCACAUUAUAAACUUUAUGUACUCAGGUCGUUGCCAGUAUUGAAGGUACUUCAAGUACCCAAUAAAAGCUUCAUCUUCGAAAUAUCUAUUCUGAGCCAAAUCUGCAUCAGAAUCAAUACAAAGUCAAGCACAAAAAAAAAUCAAAAAAAUCAAAAAGGGAUAGAAAAAUUGAAGCUUUUGCACCCAAAUAUGCAUUUUCACACACUUAAAACAUAACGAAGAAGAAUGAAUCAUCCAACAACAUGUAUAACAUAAAACUAACUAUAAUUGGUCAUUUUGAGAAAUACCCAGAAAUUAUCAUGUUUAAUAAGAGAAGGGAAUCGAUAGAUACAGUGAAUGUAAGUGGGGUUAGCGAGGCAUUGAACAAAUUCGAGUUCCAGCAAGAAACGUUGGCGCCCAUCAUCCGGAUCUUUAUAGACGCUUUUCUGCCUGCAAAUUGGAGCAGAAAAAAACAGUUGAUUAAUGUGAAGUUGGGAAGAUACAAAUUGAUUUGAGCAAAGGCGAGAUGAAUUGAUCUGCUUACGGUGAUUCAUGGGUGUCUGGAUUCGAUGUAGAAGCCAUUCGCUAAACCCUAACUAAUUCUACUUUUCAAAGUUAGCCGUUGUUUGUAUUGGUGCGCUAUAUAUGCAAAAGGAAAGUCUGCAUAUGCAAAUGAGCAUAAAAAUAGGGAUUUCGGGCAUAAGAUUAUGAAAUUGUAUUUUUAAGAUUUGAGGGUUGAUUCGAACUCUAUUUUCGACUUGAGUUUUAUGGCUUAACUAAUUUUGAAAGAAAAUUGCAGUUUUGAACGGAUGGUUUCGACAUCUUGUAUUUGAUUUUGAUCCGAACUUUUAUAUGUCAAUACGAGUGUGAUUAGACUCGUUUAUUCACCUAGAUUAUAUACUCGAUCAGAUUGGAACGGUUCAAAGUCUUUUUAAAAAAAGAAGGUGAAGUCAUAAGAAGCGAUUUUCGAUGGGUGUUUCUUGUAUGGAACAAGGGGUAUGUGAUUAUACCUAAGUUUUGACCAUUUUUUCAUUAGUAUGCAUAAUUUUUAAGCUUAAAUUCGUAGUUAUAUAUGUGAAAAUUGUGAUUUUAGUCCUAGGGGUAAAAAGUAUAAAUUUUGGGCAAUUUUGGAUGCAACGUUUGGAAUAAAAGUCUUUACAUCGCUUUUGAUAUUUACACGCUAUUUCAUCAUUCAAUUCAUGUUUCGAAUUCAAGUUGAUUCUAUUUUGAUUCUUUCUCAAAGAAAGGUGUUUUGAUCAUGUCUACGGGCCACAACUGAAUAUAUAUGUCAUGAAAGAGAGGUGCAUGAUACCAUGCCUAAAAUGAGCAUGGAAAUUGGGAGUUUUGGACCUAGAACUACGAAAUCAUAUUAUGAUGACUUGAAAGUAGUUCAAUUCGACCUAUGUUUUCGACCAAAUUUUAGAUUUCUUUCCCCUUCAUGCAAUUACCAACUUGGACUACUUCAAUUGUUAUGUUCGUGCGGUUUCCUAUUAACAAGACGCUUUACCACACACUACAAAAAUUUCAUCUACGUCUAUAUCAAAGCAUUGUGUAUCUACCCUAACAUGUAAUAAAUAGUCCUUUCGGAAAACUAAACACCAUUGGUCUUAUUGCAUGUAGCUAUUAGGAUUUGAAGUUGGGGACAAGGAGGUUUAGGAGAGGGGAGCUUAAGAGUGACCAAACCACAACCAUAAUUCAAAGAGAAUAUACCCAUCUCCAACAAAAUGUCUAUUUUAUUUGUCAUUUCCUUUUGCUGCCCAAAAUGCAAGCACCUGAGCAAGCUAGCUAAGAAAAAACUUCUCAAUCCCCACACACCUAAAACAUCAUCCAGAGUUGAAAUUUAUGUCAGCUUAUGACUUAUUUGAAUUAUAACAUCCUUUGCCCUCCCAAAGAAAGAAAAAUAAGGAGAUGCCUCUUUCACAAAGCGAGCCCCAUGCUUCUCUCGGGAAGGCUGCAAUCCAGCUUAAGAUCCACUAGUAUGGCCUGUAGCGGAUGGAACGUCGGAACCUUGGAACCCUUCUGCAAAUAAGACGACAACACAAUACUUAUUAACUAAAGUUUGAUGUAAUCAUCAAGCAGGCAUCAGUUUGAAUCAUGUGAAGACAAAACAUGACGAUGACAGUGAACAUCAAACAAGAGAGUAAAAAUUGCACAACUGUUAAAUUAUAGCUUAUAAAAGUGAAGAGUCAAGGAGGACAAAUUGAGAGCAUGCUAAUUAGGAACACUGUAAUCCAGAUGAACAAAUAUCUGAAAAUUUACUCUUCCAUUAAAAUCUAGGGAAGUUCAGCUCUCUGUUGAAGGACAUAAAAAGCAUUCCCACCAAUUUAAGUUCUCUUUGAUAAUAAAAGGAUUAGUACCAGCCUAUCAGGAAUUCGUAUAGGAUAAUAGGAAAUAAAUUCAACUCAACAAAUCUUGUAAAAAACUUAUGUUGGACUAAUAUCAGUUGACAUGUGUUACUGCAACAAAAUACCCUACAAGUAAGUUUUAUAUUAUCCUCAUUUAACAGUUUAGUGAUGCAACACCUAUUUUUGGAGUUCUGAAGGUUUACUUUGUAUUACUUAACUGGUAGUAGUACAGGGAGCAUUGUUGCCAACAUUUGCAUUAGUGUUGCAAAAACAAAACAGCUGAUUUUGGCACAUACUACCUGUACAAAAAGUCGGCUGCGGAAUGCAUUGCAAGUGUUGUGAUGCAACGUCUUAAAAAAACAGUCAAGUGAUGCAUUUUAGAUAGGUAUAUGUAACAGUGAUUGCGUAAAAUAGAUUAGACAUAGGAGUCAUCUAGUUUAUUUCAGUGAACUGCUGACUAGACCCUUCCAUCAAUAAGACGAGACUCUAGGUUCAUCUUCUGAAGCACACUGAUAAACUUGAAAAUAGACAAGUUCGAGUAGCUGAGCUGCUAAUCCAGAAGCAUAGGACUUUAGGUCAUAUUUAGUCAAAAUACCAACAGAAAGAAGUAACUCGAAAGAACAUUAAACACAAAAGUUACCAUUUCAGAUCAACACAAUUACCAUGGCACAUGCUCUGGCUUUACGAGAAACCCAACAUCCUACUUCGUUUAAAGGAAGUAAGCCUAGAAACCCAACCAACCAAAGACAACACGAGAUUCCAUUUUAUUUGGGAGGCAGGAAGCACUGAACUACUGCUCAUGUAGGGGCAACAGUGUAGGUCAAACAAACAUGUGUUGAAGUAGAUUAUGUGGCAAGUGCAGAUCCCAUAAGGCAUCAGAGUAGGCUGUAUCCAAGUUGGGAACCAAUUAAUAUUCAACUUGACUUCCUUCAGAAAUUGAGUGAUAGAUAAAUCUAUGAAGUUGCACCUGACAGGAUACUGGUACUUAAAUGAAAUUCGCAGAGUAAGGAGAUAAGCUGAGCUUUAGCCCAAUGUUUAUUGAAGUAACAAAGGCCAGGAUAACAUUAUUGGUCAGGACGGAAACUGCUCUGAGCUAUAUGUCCCAACCACCUCUUUGCUCCUGAUCCUAGAGAUCAGACAAAGAUGUCUAGCCCCAAAAGAAUGGUCAAGCAAAGAUCCACUUUGCUUUGGACAAGUAAACAAUUUGAUGCCUCUUCUUUUUGGGUUGGGGUAAAGAAGGGGAGGUUGUACUUCAAUGAUAGAUCAAGAUUGACCGAGACAAAGUUGUAAGUUUUUUCCUUUUCUUUUGCAACACAUUUUUAAAGAUAUUUUUAGCUUUUUCCCCAAAUACAAAACCACCGACCCUACUCGUCACAUACUGUCGAAAAUUCCUUGACUUCUUUUCAUGAUUUUGUGCUCAUCCAGCAUCUAGGGUGGCAAGUUGUACUAUGAACUGCUCCUAUCUUGAUACACCUUUUAAGUUUUAAGCACCUCCAUACCCAAACAAAAACAAAAGAAACAGGAACAAAAGGAAAAAGAAAUGGCCCCAUAUAAUAAAUAAAACAGUACCACUCUAGCAUUCUGAAACUGACUAAAACAUAAAAAUCCAUGGAACCAAAAGUUCAAGCAAUGAAACUUGAAUCAUCAGCUCCUCUCAGAAAAGAAAAGUUGGAAGAAGACCCAAGGGGAGGGAUUCUCUCGAGCACAAGAUGGUAGAAAAUAGAAGCAUCAUCACAUUAGAAAAUAGAAGACCCCUCCCCUUGGGUCGCCUUCCUACUUCUCUUUUUCAAGAGCUGAGGAUUAGAGUUACAUCGCUUGAACUUUUGGUUCCAUGGAUAUUUAUGUAUUAGUCAGGUUCAAAAUGCUAGAGUGGUACUGUUUUAUGUAUUACAUGGGGCAAUUUCUUUUUCUUUUUGUUUCCUGUUUCUUUUGUUUUUGCCUGGAUAUGGAGGUGCUUAAAAGGUGUAUCAAGAUAUGAGCAGUUCAUAGUACAACUUGCCACCCUAGAUGCUAGAUGAGCUACAAAAUUAUGAAAAAAAGUCAAGGAAGUUUCGACAGUAUGUGACAAAUAGGGUUGGUGGUUUUGUAGUUGAGGAAAAAGCUAAAAAUAUCUAUAAAAAAUGUAUUGCAAAAGAAAAGGAAAAGGCAUACAACCUUGUCUUUGUCAAUAUAUAUAUAUGCAUACGCAUAUAUACACACUAAAAUAAGGUUCUGCAGAGGAUAGCAUCAUUGUUAAUUACCCAAAAGGUGGAAUGGCUGGAGCACCAGGCACAAACGCACGACGAGGGCGGAAUUCAGCAUAAGGAUUAAAUCGCCUGCCUCGAAAUUGCUUCAUACCAGGAACAUUUGUCCGCUUGGCAGACACCUAUACAUGAAAAAAGAACAUAGUUAGUAGAAGGUCUAGAAGGUGAAACAGAGUCGAUAAAUCAUUAAGGUGAUUGUUAUGGACCUUCAACUUCCGCCCGUGAAGCUCUGAUUCGUUUAACAGAAGUGCAUUUUGAACAGCCUCUAUUUCAAAGAACUCCACAUACGCAAAGCCUUUUGGCUGGCCAAGCUUGUCAGUCAGGAUAGUUACCCUGUUAACAGUGCCACAUGCUUGGAAGUGCUGCUUCACUUCCCCAGGCAAGCAAGCAUAAUCAACCUGAAGUUGAAAUGCAAAAAAAAAAAAAAAAAAAAAAAAAAAAAAAAAAAAAAAAAAAAAAUUUAAAUGACAGUUAUGCUAAGCAUUUUCACAAGAGAUGGGUCAGCAUAUAUUUUUUUUGUGGGAUGGGGGGCUGCGGCUGGCCUCAUUUCAGAUAGCGUUACAAUUAUCAAACCACAUUCAAAGACUAACAAUGAGGGGCGCCUUACAUGUGUUUUACUAACACAAUAUGGUGUUACUUUGGUAAUACAUGCAGGGAAAAAUAUAUUGUUUUUUUACUAGUUCGUGAUUUAAUGUGAGGUUAGCUCUAUCAAUACAGCAACUCAACCUAACGGCAAAAUGCAGCAACUAAUCCCGUAAAUGGAAUAUUCAGACCGAGCAAUCUAUAGUGCUGCCUUAUCCUGUCAUGUAUUUCUGAACAAACUUAUCCCAAGUAAUCAUUCUUCUGCACACAACCAAUUGCAAGCUAAGGCUACAAGAGCAAAGCUGAGAAAGUAAAACAGAAAACAAAAGUAAAGGAACAAGUAGAAGAGCAACAAACCAAUUUUCUGUGUUCAUAAUGAAAAAUAAUAAUCUGAGAGUACAGCAAUUAGACAACUGAUGCGCAAAAUAAGUCUGUUCUAGAAAGUUGAACACUAUUAUUGCUUUCUACGUGAGUUCAUGUUAAAGUUGCAUCUACAGUGUCAAAGAACAAAAAAUAAUAUAAAUAGAAGCGGGCAAAAACUAUAGGCAACAAAUUUUUGAGCAAUAAAGUAUUCUACAGUUUUAUUGGAUUAUAAUGUGAAAGCAAAUAAUCAGAUAAGGUUGAAGUAUAAAUUAAUUCAUGUCAUUGAUUAACACAAUAUAAGUCUUAUGAAGAGAAGGAUGACGCAAUUAGUAAGAACAUGUCACGUAGGGAAAAACAAAUUUACAUGUUGAGGUAAAGGCGACAAAUCUCACAUUACCGACAUAUAUGGAUCGCGAAUCCACCUCCUCCUUUUCAGCCUGAGUAGCAGAACCAGUUGGAUCUGCACAUAGUCACAAUUAUGAACAGUCACAUAAGAUUGUUUGGAUUUCCCUUGUUUUCUGGGAGGAUGGGGUUUGCUAUCAAAGGAAAAGAAUUCCUCACACACACAAAGACAAACACACUCUCUUCAAAAACAGAAGUCCAAAACCCAAGAUAACUUAAACACAUUCACUGCUCUUCUAUGCGUCAGAUAAUUGAGAGACCUUCCGAAGCACCCUAAAGUUUCACUCAUGUUUUUAAAAAGCUACCAUUAACUUGUGUUUCUUUCUCUCUCUAUAUAUAUACAUUCACACACACAUACCAAUUAACAACUAAAUAGCCAGUGUAGUCUCACAAGUGGGAUCUUGGGAGGGUGGUGUGAACACAGCCUUGCCCCUUUCUUGAAGGUAGAAAGGGGUAAGGCUAUAUAUAUAUACACAAAAAGUACAUUUAUUGUUGGAAAAAAAGAGCAGUAUGCUCCCGGGCACUAGUUUCGAGACAAUCUUCUGAAGUCCCUUCUGGACUUCGGUGGUUUUUUCUUUUCUCCAGUGGACUUCUUUCACCGGAAUACCACUCUCUUUCUUUCUUUCUCUCUUUUUUAACUCCAUUGUUGUUCAGAUGGACAACAGAGUUUAUUUCAGAUCUGGGGGGAAGUCUUGCGACAUCACAGAGUCUAGAUCAAAAGCUGAAGUAUGGUAUGACUGGGUUGAAGAUGCUAGGCAUCACAUGAGGAGAAUGGUUCUUAGCAGGGGAGCACUCGGUUGGGUCUGCAAAAGGCUAGAGGGAAAGCGGCCAAGUCAUUGAGAUGCAGGGAUGUCUCAACUAACUUCUUUAUAGCUUUGAAAUUCAAUCAAUACGGGAGAUACCUGUCUCUAAUUUCAGUUAAAGGUAGUGACAGAGCAAUUAUUAUACUCCCAGAAAGUGCAUUCAAUGAGGGGUGGGAGAAGUUAGCUAAGAAGAUAGAAGCAUUCAUUAAUGGGGGUAUAAAACACACAAAAGCAUUUAAAUUAUCAGGGGAGGCAGACUAUGCCGCUAACAAGGGGGGAAGGAGUUAUAGAGACGUUUUGCAGAAAAGUAAAUGGACCAGAAUUGAGACAGAGCUAGCAGAAGAAGGCAGCAUGUUGAAAGCUCGAGUCCAAUUAGAACACGAAGACCUAUUGGCACGUUGUCUAGUGAGGAAUUUUUUUGGAGAAGAUGAUACACCCACUAGAAAUGAUGUAAGAAGAUGGACCCAACAGACUUGGAAUGGAGUGCAUGGAGUCCAAGUCUAUGAUAUGAAUGGAAUUUUAUUUCUUUUUGAAUUCCAGUCCAGAAAAACAGCAGAACAUGUUUUGAUGGGUGACUGGAGAAGACAAGGGAGCAGAUUAAAGCUUCAAUGGUGGUCACCGACCAUUGGGGCUUUCCCAAUAACCCAUGAGUUCGAAUGGUUCUGGAUUCGAGUUCUAGGGUUGCCUCUACAUCUCUGGUCCAGGCCAAUAAUGAAGGAAAUUGGAGAUCGGUGUGGCGGCUGGAUAGAGACAGAAGAAGAAACCGAUAUAAAAAAUCAUCUCCGUUGGGCUAGGAUUCGUGUCAAAGGUCCGGCAAAAAAAAUUUCGGCAUCCAUUGAGAUCGCCGAUGAGGAGAACAUCUUCUCUCUACCUAUAUGGGUAGAAUCGCCGGUGACUUUUCGUAAAAAGUACAAUGAGGAAGCGUGUACAAGUAAGGAAAGAGACGAGGGUGGGUAUCGAGGGAGGAACCCAUCAGAUCUGUCUAGGUGCAGAGAUAUUCAUAGGUCUGAAAAGCUGCCUGUUAAACCUAACAGAGAAGAAAAGGUUUUUUUUGGUGAAAAAAGUCACGUGGGUGGAAAAGUCACAAAGGGGGCCACUUCAGAACAAAUAGAGGGCCACUUGGUUUUAAACCCUGGACCAAGUCAUUUAGGCUUGUUAAAAAACCAAUUUUUAAAAGACUGCCCGACAGAACCUGAGCCUUUUAUUUGCGAUGUAAAUCGCUGGGAAAAAAAUCAUGAAAUUAUAUACUCCUCAACUGAUCAGAAUCUGAUGGAAGAAACAAAGGUAAAAGAUUCAAUUAGCAAUUAUGUACAAUCGAAAGUCAACACACAGGUGAAUGCAGAAGCAUCUCCACAAAUUUUGGAAGAACUAAAUGAAGAAGAAGCUGAGUUAUAUGGGCAGAAUAGUUCGAAACAAAUCACAAUUCUGGGUGACCCAACAUCCAUUCAAUGUGAUGCUUCAGAAUGCAGCAAAGAAGUCAAAGGCAAGGCAACAGAAUGGGUACAGAAAAAUCUGUUGAGGCUAAGCAAAAAGUUUGGAGUAGCUUCCGAGGGGUGCACAGAGGAAGCUUUCAAUUUACUUCUGAAAAUUGACCAUAAGAGGCUCAAAGAGUUAACAAAAAUAGACCCCAUCUCAGGGACAUGUGAGAAUCAGAUGGUGCCCAAAGAAGUAAGGAAUCUUAACUUUGAUGUUAAUUACAAAUAUAAAGAUUCCAGGAAUGCAACAAGGAGUAGAGGGAGAAAUGCAACCUCACAUUUAUCAUGAAGACUAAAAAUAUUUUCAUGGAAUGUGAGGGGGCUCAACAUGGAUACCAAAAGGAAUCUGGUAAGCAGUAGAAUACAACAAGAGGUGGUGGACAUAAUAGUGUUGGUGGAGACGAAACUUAGGGGGGAGGUAGGGGAGUAUGUGCAACAGUUGGGGGGAAACAGAUGGAUGGGAGGAAUGUGGAUGGAAUCUUUAGGUAGUAAGGGGGGAAUCUUGAUAAUGUGGGACAAAAGGAAUUGGAAAGGGGAACCAGUAGAAAGAGGAAACCAAAGCAUUACCAGCAGUUUAAGUGGUUUAAAUCAAGACCUCAUCUGGUUCAUCACUGCAGUAUACGCACCAUGCGAUGGGAGGGAGAUACAGGAAUUGUGGGAGGAGUUGGGUGCAAUGAGGAGCUUCUGUGAAGGGCCAUGGGUGGUAUGUGGGGAUUUCAACACCACAAGGUUUCCAUCUGAAAAAACCAAUUGUAGCAGAAUUUCCGAGGCUAUGUCUGAUUUCUCCAGUUGCAUCAAUGAAUUGGAACUUGUGGAUCCCCCUUUAUUUGGGGGACCCUACACAUGGAGAGGAGGGGCAAAUCAGAAAAAUGCUUCAAGAAUCGACAGAUUCUUGUACUCUUUUCCUUGGGAUGAGAUGUUCACCCAAAUUAGACAAAGUACUUUACCUAGUUUGGGGUCUGAUCAUAAUCCAAUAGUACUGACCUGUGGGGAUGAGGUUUUCAAAAAAUCAUAUUUCAAGUUUGAGAAGUGGUGGUUAAAUGUGGAGGGUUUUCGAGACAAAGUUAAGGAGUGGUGGGGUUCCUUUAAUGUGACAGGCAGUCCUGACUUUAUACUAGCCUCAAAAUUGAGCUUCUUAAAAAAGAAGCUCAAAGAAUGGAGCAAAGAAAAUAGAGGCAACUGGAGGGUUAGGAAAGAACACCUACUGGAACAAAUUGGCAGUUUGGAAGACAUUCAAGAGCACAGAGCAUUAACAGAUGAUGGGCAACUUUUGAAAGCUCAUAUAGCAAUGGAGUAUGAGGAAAUCCAUUGGAGACAAAGAUCCAAAAUUCAGUGGAUAAAGAAUAGAGAUAAGAACACCAAGUUCUUCCACAGAAUGGUGACAUCCCACAAAAGGAACAAUACUAUAGAAUCCUAGUGAUUAAUGGAGAAGAGUCUUCAGAUCCUGUUGCAAUCAUAAAUGAAAUUGUGGAUUUUUAUCAGAUUUUGUACAAGGAGACAGAAAGUUGGAGACCAUCUUAACAUCUUGGAUGUUCAAACAAUCACAGAAGAAGAACAAAUCUUGUUGUCUAGAGACUUUGAGGAGGAAGAAGUUUUGGAAGGAAUAAAAUAGUGUGUUGUUGAUAAAGCACCUGGACCAGAUGGCUAUACAAUGGCUUUCUUCGGUGUUUUUUGGGAAACCAUCAAAGAUGAUGUGAUGCAGACCUUCCACAAAUUUCAUGCUCAUCAAAAGUUUGAAAAUAGUUUUAAUGCCACAUUUGUAGCUUUAAUUCCAAAGAAGGUGGGGGCAAAUGAGCUAAAGGAUUUUAGACCUAUCAGUUUGAUCACAGGGGUAUACAAGAUCAUAACUAAGGUGCUGGCAGAAAGGUUGAAAAAGGUGAUCAGUAAGCUAAUAAACAAGCACCAAAUGGCCUUUAUCAAAGGAAGGCAAAUCAUAGAUGCUGCACUUCUAGCUAGUGAGUGUAUUGAUUUUAGAAUUAGGGGUGGAACCCCUGGACUGAUGUGCAAGCUAGACAUUGAGAAGGCAUAUGACCAUUUGAACUGGGAGUUUCUAAUCAAUAUCCUAAGGCAGAUGGGGUUUGGGUGGAGAUGGUUAAGCUAGAUAAAUUUAUGCAUUAAAACCACUCGGUUCUCCAUACUUGUAAAUGGAGAACCAGUUGGUUUUUUUCCAGCAGAAAGAGGCCUGAGACAAGGGGACCCACUAUCCCCCUUUCUAUUUAUCUUAGCCAUGGAAGGUUUGGAUAGAUUGAUGAGAGUUGCUUCUCAGAAUAACUGGAUAAAGGGCUUUUCCUUAAAGAACAGGGUAAAUGAUACAAUUGAACUAACACAUCUUUUGUAUGCAGAUGACACAUUGGUAUUCUAUGAAGCUGAGCAGGAACAAAUUUCCUACUAAAGAGUGAUCCUGGUGGUCUUUGAGGCUUGCUCAGGAUUAAAAGUAAACUGGAGAAAGAGUAGCAUUUUUCCAAUUAAGGAAGUGCAACAGAUUGAGGAUCUUGCAAGCAUUUUGAAGUGCAAGAUAGAGAAGCUCCCAACAGUUUACCUUGGUAUGCCUUCGGGCUCCGAGCACAAAGCAGAAAUUUUUUGGAAUGGCAUUAUUGAGAAAACAGGGAAGAAAUUGGCUAUAUGGAAAUCUCAAUACCUAUCUCUGGGAGGUAGAGUUACACUAAUUAACUCAGUUCUGGAUUCUUUACCCACUUAUGUGAUGUCCCUCUUUCCUAUUCCUAGCAGGAUAGUGAAGGUUUUAGAUGCACUCAGAAGGGACUUCUUAUGGCAAGGGAACAAGAUAGCAAAUGGAUUCAACCUGGUGAAAUGGUAUGUAGUACAACAAAGCAAGAAAAAUGGGAGGCCCGUGAGAAAUUUAAAAGUUCAUAACAUGAGCCUCCUCUCAAAAUGGUUGUGGAGAUAUAAUCAAGAGGAGCAGGCUCUAUGGAAAGAGAUAAUAAACCACAAAUAUGGGCAAGAGGACUUCUGGUGCACUAGUGAAGUUAAUGAAACUUAUGGGGUUAGGGUGUGGAGGACCAUCAGAAACCUUUGGGAGAAUCUAAAGAACAACUCAAAAAUUGUGGUGGGCAAAGGAGACAAAACAAAGUUAUGGCUAGAUGAUUGGUGUGGAAAUGGGAUUUUGAGGGACUUGUUCCCUAUUCUUUUCUCAAUAUGCACAAAUACCAACAAAAAGAUAGAGGAGAUGUGGUCACCACAAGGUUGGAAUAUAAUAUUUAGAAGACUGCUAAAUGACUGGGAGAUUGAUGGAAUGGUGGAGUGUUUAGGCUUGAUUGGUGGAUUCCCAGGUACUACUCUAGAGCCAGACAGAUUAGCAUGGGGACAUCACAAAGAUGGGGUAUUUUCAGUGAAUAGAUUAUACAACUGGGGACUUAAAAAAUGUGCAGGAAGAUCCAUUGGACCUUUGAACACAAUAUGGAAAAGUGUGGCUCCUGCCAAGGUGAAGUGCUUCACUUGGUUGGUUGCUAGGAAAAAAUGUUUGACUCAUGAGGCAAUGCAGAAGAGGCGCAUCAACAUAGUAUCUAGAUGUCUCCUUUGUAAAGAAGCUCUGGAGACUAACAAACACUUAUUCAUGCACUGUAAGGUAACUGCUCAGGUGUGGGCUCUGUUUACAAGCAUAGCCAAUGAAUAUUGGACUAUGCCUGAACACACCUCUGACCUUGACCUUCUUAGUUGCUGGAACAAAAGGGGAGGCAAUAAAAGUUAGAAAAGAUGAUGGAGAACAAUUUCAGCAUGUAUCUGGUGGAUUAUAUGGAAAGAAAGGAAUCAGAGAAUUUUUGAAGGAAAGGAGUGUACAAUACAGAAGAUCAAAUGGAAAGUAAUUACUACUUUAGGUUUUUGGUGUAAAGAACAGGAUAUAGAAAAUGAGUUCCAAUUAGUGGACUUCAAAGGUUCUCUGUAAGUAUUUCUUUUUAGUCUUUUCCGUUUCUUGUAACCGUUUUUUGGAGAUGGCCAGCAUAGCCCUUAAUGCUGAGGAAUACAAAAAGUUACCAGUUUAUAUAUAUAUAUAUAUAUAUACACAAACAUAAAUAGAAGUCCUAUGGGACUUUAAGCAAAUGGCAAGAAGCAACACUCACACACCUUUUGAAGGAAACACCCAUAUACUGGAAACAGAAAAAUCACGUAACAUAUAUGAAUUUGAAAAAAAGAUCAUCUAACAUGUAUGAAUUAAGUAAUUAUAAUAUAAAAUCGCAAUCAUAAUCACAAUUACUACCACCCGAUGUACAAUCAUGGCAAUAUUAAUACAACUAUUCAAAUUAAACAUAAUUCACAUGUAAUUUCAACAAGGCCCAUAUACAAUAACUUCAAUCACAUUGAUUUUCAAUUUGCAAAUGAUCAACGAUAAGAAAAGAAUUAAUUUGCAACAUACUUCAUAUUAACUACUCAAAUAAAUGUACUAAGAGAGUAAAAUAUGAGAAAAGAAGAAGUUCAAACGAAAAGACUUGCACACUAAGAUAAGAAGAAAGAUUCAUUGUUUGAAGAGGAAAAAGAGAAAGAUGUAAAUCAAAAUAAGUUGAGAAACAGAAAGAGUAUAUGUUAUUAUUGAAUCCAUCACAACAGUAGAGCAGGUGUUAAACCUCAAGAAGAAGAAAACAAUGAAAAAUCUUAAGAGCGUAGCAGCAUACUAGUUUCCUUAUCUUUGUCUAUUCUUUUCUUUCUAUAGUCAGAUUCAAAGACUCAACUGCUUCUAGCUGUGAUCACUCUGUGUUUCUAUAUGCUUCACCCAUGAGGGGAUAACCCAUUGCCUACCGGUACUUAUCACAUAAAGCAACAAAACAUUGACUUCCAAUAAUACUGAAUUUCUCACAUAAUCAUAUCAUGAAACGAGCUACAAAUUAAUAACAUUAAUUAUAAUAAAAGGGUCCUCCUUUUCCCCAUUUUCCUAAUUUUAAUGGAUAGCUAAUGCAAGCCAAAUGUGUCACUUAUUGUCGACCACAGUUUGGUCUACUUCAGUUUUUUCGAGAACCCAAUCGGUGUAGCCCAAUUUCACAUUUACACUCGACCAGAAUCACAUUUUAUCUACAAGAAACAGAUGAGUAAUCAAUUAUAACCAAAUUCAUGGGUCAAAUAAUAGCUUUUUUUCCUUUGACAAGUCAAAUGACAAGCUAGUCUGUCCAACAAGAAAUUAGCACCUUAAAGUAUUUUCAUACAAGGAUGUUCUAAAUCUACAAAAUCAUUUUAAUUACAGAAAGGAUAUAGCAAACACAAAAAAGGAAAAAAGCAAAAAGAAACCGGAGAAAAUGAUAAGCUACUUUGUGUCCAAGAAGAAAUUAGUACCUAAAGGAAUUUCUAUAAGUGGAUGGGAUCUAGACAAUCAUCCCGAUUACAGGAUGGAUAUAGCUAGCGGAAACAAAAAAGGAGGAAGAGAAACCAAUAAUCAAAGAAAGUGGAACAAACAAACAACCAUUUUCACCUAGAAAUAGAUUUCUUUUUCUAGAUAUAUCUGAGAUUAAAAGAACAGAGUGCAAAAAGGGAAAGAAAAAAAUCCCACUCUUAGGUUCUGGAAUCGCCCACAAAGAUCGCCUAGGUUCAAAGCAGCGAACUUCUCCAGUCAUCUUCCUGCAAGAUAUCCUGUCUUAAUGGUGAUUGGAAGAACAGAUGAAGAAAGCCAACCUAUAGAAGAAGAUUUAGCUUAACCAAGAAGAAAAUCUAAUUUAAAUAGGGGACAAAAAUGAAGUUGUAACGGAGGAAUCUUUUAGAAAAAUCAAACUUCUCCGAGGAAGACAAGUGGUCAAAUCCAUUUACCAAUAGAAAGGAGACAAAUCAAAAUUAAUUUGGCACGAAAGCAGUUCAAAGUAUAUUAAGGACACACAAGAAAAUUGCAAUAAAUACUUAUUUAUUCAGGUAGAUGACUUUGUCAUCAAACUAACAAUGUAUCGGAAGAUAAACUAGGGAUUUAUGUAAAAAGAUUCACACUAAUGUAUUACACAUUAGCCAAGCUUCUCAUAACAGAAACAAUACCGGAGAAAUGGAAUCCCUAUCCACAAAUGACAAUUUUUCAACAAAUGCAAGAAUAAGUAGUCCCUCCAUUGAAAUGCAUGAGAAAAUUUGAAAUUAAUUAUUGUAAAAAUUCCAUAGCUAUAACAGUGCUAACUAGAUCUACCUGAUCGGGAAUCAUGAGUCCCAAACAAUAAAUAUUACAGUUUUGGCAUUCAUCUAACAGUAUCUUAUUUAGAUAAUCCCACGUUUGAGAAGAAAAGAACUCUGAGUUUCGCAGUAAGAAGCAACUAAAACAAACUUCGUGACAAGAAAGAUUUGAUAAACUCAAUCAUAAAUACAACCCCUCAGACUCCUGGAAAUCGUGUAGAAGAACAUCUGGAAACACUCUAAACUUGCAAUAGAAAGAGAGUCUAAUCUGAAGCUACAUGGAAUUUAUUCUCAAUUAGGAAAGAAGAUCAAGCAUUUAUGAGGAAAGCCAACCUUUUCAUUUGUUUCCUUAAGAAAUUCUAGAGAUCUAAAAUGAUGGAACCAAAGAAAAUAAUCUUAGUACAUCUUAUACAUUGAUUAGGAAAAUACUUAUUAUAGUAGCAUUAAAGUAGAAACACGCUUCUCCAACCAUGUAGCUAUUUUUUGUGAAGAUCUAAACUCAUAUAUCACUUGACUAAUGAAAAGACCAAGAAAAGGUAACCCAAAAUGAUCCUUCCGGCAACAUUUAGCUAGUUGUUAAGGUUGAAAAGACUUUUGAAGGUGAAACAGACGCAUGCCAUUUGGGGUAAGAGAAAGCCGUUGUUGUACAUUGUCCUUUGUUUGCUCUUUUCAUGUUUCAAGCAAUAAUUUUAUUUUUUUGUACUAGACAUAUCUUUGCAACUACAGAGCUUUCUCCUGAUGGAGUCACUGAUAUGCCUCUCUUUAAUAGCUAAUCAAAAGCUGGUUAACACCUUGAGGUUCGGGAAUAAAAAUUAAUCCACACCUAUCUUGAGCUUCUAAAUUGUGGUGACCACAUUAUCAGAACCAAAAAAGUUUGUCCAUAAUUGAUUCUCUCGUAUGUGCCUAAGGAAAAUUCCAGGAUAACAUGCAUAAUCAAAUCGGUUUUUCUGUUGCAUUCAACAAAUCCAACAAAAAGAAAAAUAAAUCCAACAAAAAAUUUAACUGCAAAAUUCGCAUUUGACAGAACUCUUGUCAUAAGCAAAGAUGUCAAUGAUGACGUAUUACUGACACCCGACGUGGACUCUUCAUUAUCUUGUCUUCCAUUACAAAUACUAUUUAUUAGCUAACAAUUGGUAUCAGAGCUCUAUCUGUGUAUGCUAUGUGGUUGCUUUGAAACAAAUUUGUUAAAUUUGACAAGAUUUUAUAUGAACUAGUGUGAAUAGUUGGAAGGAAGAUAAUUUUUCAUUGGGACAAAAUGUCAAGGUAUUGAAUUUGUAGUAGAAAUUUUGGCAAACCAUUAAAUAGUUUCACAAGUUGAAUCUUGACAUUUGCAUACUAGUGAUGUCAUUGAUGACAUUAAGAGGAAGAAUUCAUUUCCUAUAAAUAUGUAGUCAAUUGUUCAUUUGUGACACACUUCUCACUUGCCUUCUCAUCUUCUAAGGCAUUUGAGUCUUCUUUCUCUCAUAUAGUAUUUCACUUGUAUUCUUAUGGAUUGAAAUAAAUUUUGGUUGGUUGUGGUGUUUGAGGACUAGGCAAAAAACAAAAUUUUACCGAACCUCAUAAAUUUUUGUCCAUUUUUAUAUGGUCUCAUUAACUAUUUAUUAGCUGCCUUUCAAUAUAGCAGUUGUGAUUUCAUCACACUCUAAAGAUUCGGCUUUCGCAACAAGAAUGAAAAUACAUGUAGGAUAAAAACAACUAGGUUCCAACUUCGGUCAUGUACCAUUGAUAGAGUCAAAAAAUGAUACGUAAGAUCUGAGCAACAUCAUGACACUAAAUGUUUGGUCAUGGUGGAAAAUACUCCUCCCAUUUACCAUAGAUGAUAGGCAAAGGUUCCUAAAGUUGGACCACAUUGAAGAAGCUAAUCCUUCAUUUAUCAUCAAAACUUGAAGUUCACAAGUAAAUAUGGUGAUUGGAAUAACUUCUUUACUCCAUUGAUAAUCCUAGAAGAGGUGAAAAGUAAGUUGCUUCCAUUAUGUUUUGGUUACUUGGUUUCAGGAAAAUAAAAUUAUUUUUAUUUUUUACUAUAAAUUUGAUCCCAGAGAACCCAACAAAAAUGUGUGGUUGAACUCUCACAAAACUUUAGCACUAUGUUUUCUGACAAGAAAAAGAAAUUACAGGUCAUUGAUCGUGCUUGAGACUUGGUCAGGACUCUAAAAUUGGAUAUAAAAAAAUCACACUCUUAAUAUGAUUUCAUAAAUGCAUUUGGCAACGAGGGAACUGCAACACAAAUUCUGAAAAUGAAAUCAUGGGGUGCAAAAUGUAUUACCUUAAUUCAUGAAUUAAUUGAUAGGAGGUAUGUGCUAUGAGUAAAGAAAAUCAUCCGUCUUUCCUGCUAAAACAAAAUUAUCCAAGUCAUUAACUAUGUAAGAAACAUUACGUCAUAAAUCUAACCCUAAAAUAUAAAAACACAACAAGAGGGAGCAUGCAACAACAAGCUUUGACAAAGUUUUCACAGUAAGAGAAAGUAAAAGACGAGAGGAAAUACUUUCUCUUUCUUCGAUCAACAGAAGCAUUCCUUGGGUCAGUUUUUAGCAAGACCAGAUCCAGGAGGGAUGGCAUACUGCAUCUGGGAAAGAGCUGCAGCUGUAACAGGUGUAGGAGCAGGAGGUGGAGCGGCUGGUGGGUCUACACUUGAUGGUAGUGAUGCAGGUGGAGCAGAACUUGGUGCAGUUGCAGGCUCAGGAAGCGGCCGAGGCAAAAUAUGUUUCAACCGGUUAUUUCUAUAGUUCUUCCAGAAGUAAAAUUGCUGCCUAUGUGCCACUUCCU
rnacentral:lncRNA from 1 species